CGCUGGCGGCAGGCUUAACACAUGCAAGUCGAACGCUCGUAGCAAUACGGGAGUGGCGGACGGUGAGUAACGCGUGGGAACGUGCCCUGAGGUACGGAAUAACUGCGGGAAACUGCAGCUAAUACCGUAUGAGCCCCGCAAGGGGGAAAGAUUUAUCGCCUUGGGAGCGGCCCGCGUCGGAUUAGCUAGUUGGUGGGGUAACGGCCUACCAAGGCUUCGAUCCGUAGCUGGUCUGAGAGGACGAUCAGCCACACUGGGACUGAGACACGGCCCAGACUCCUACGGGAGGCAGCAGUGGGGAAUCUUGCGCAAUGGGGGCAACCCUGACGCAGCCAUGCCGCGUGAAUGAUGAAGGCCUUAGGGUUGUAAAGUUCUUUUGCCCGUGACGAUGAUGACGGUAACGGGAGAAUAAGCUCCGGCUAACUUCGUG
rnacentral:rRNA from 1 species